rnacentral:rRNA from 1 species
AGGACGAACGCUGGCGGCGUGCUUAACACAUGCAAGUCGAACGGAAAGGCCCUGCUUUUGUGGGGUGCUCGAGUGGCGAACGGGUGAGUAACACGUGAGUAACCUGCCCUUGACUUUGGGAUAACUUCAGGAAACUGGGGCUAAUACCGGAUAGGAGCUCCUGCUGCAGUGGUGGGGUUGGAAAGUUUCGGCGGUUGGGGAUGGACUCGCGGCUUAUCAGCUUGUUGGUGGGGUAGUGGCUUACCAAGGCUUUGACGGUAGCCGGCCUGAGAGGGUGACCGGCCA